UUGUUCAGUUUUAUUCUCUAUAUUUAUGACUUCUUCAUUUUGAUGAUUUCAGCUUCACCAUGCUUUCACCACUUAACCAAUGCCUAAUCGUUAAAGUCUGGCUUUAGCACAUUCCCAGGCUGUAUGCAAACUGAGAAUCUAAGAUCAUUACAUUUGAAUUGUAAAGAAGGAAGCUUGCUGAAAUCAGUUGCCAAAUUAAAGGUUAGAUUGAAGUUGGUGUUGAGUGUUGCAUCCUCACCAAAGCUCUUGAGUCCCUUGUUACAAUUUCAGAUGACGAUAAGAAAGCCCUGUUUUCGGUGGACUGACUUGAGUUUGUUCAACCAAUGGAGUGCAUGAGCUACUAAUUUAAAUGAGUUAUUGCAGAACCACUAUGAGAGCUGCAACUGUUGAAAUCCAUAUCAGUUCAGAAUGACCAAAAUAUCAAAAUGGGAACUCAGAACAAUAUAUUCACAGCUAGAUCAACUUCUAUGAGGGAGUAAUUUUAAGUUCACAAGUUUAUGGAUUCAAUUCAAGAGAUGGAAGUCACACUUGGAAAAACUAUAAGAUUGGGACGAAAUUCAAUAUCCAAAGCGGUGUCAUAUCCUCCUUGGAAGGCAUUGGGGGCAUUACUUUAAAGUUUAUUUAGUUUUAAACGUCCGAUUUUUACCAAAGUUGAUCGCAAGGGUCCAGUUGACCCCGAAUAGUCAUAGUCGUAUUUUUGUGGGUCUAGUUAGGAAAAGUCGGGUCGUUACAGGAAGGCACACUGGGAAAAGCUAUAAGAUUGUGUACACAUUUAUCAUGAUUUUAAUUCAAUUAAAAUAAAAUUGUUAA